GAUGAACGCUGGCGGCGUGCCUAAUACAUGCAAGUCGAGCGAACAGACGAGGAGCUUGCUCCUCUGACGUUAGCGGCGGACGGGUGAGUGACACGUGGAUAACCUACCUAUAAGACUGGGAUAACUUCGGGAAACCGGAGCUAAUACCGGAUAAUAUAUUGAGCCGCAUGGUUCAAUAGUGAAAGACGGUUUUGCUGUCACUUAUAGAUGGAUCCGCGCCGCAUUAGCUAGUUGGUAAGGUAACGGCUUACCAAGGCAACGAUGCGUAGCCGACCUGAGAGGGUGAUCGGCCACACUGGAACUGAGACACGGUCCAGACUCCUACGGGAGGCAGCAGUAGGGAAUCUUCCGCAAUGGGCGAAAGCCUGACGGAGCAACGCCGCGUGAGUGAUGAAGGUCUUCGGAUCGUAAAACUCUGUUAUUAGGGAAGAACAAAUGUGUAAGUAACUAUGCACGUCUUGACGGUACCUAAUCAGAAAGCCACGGCUAACUACGUG
rnacentral:rRNA from 1 species